rnacentral:lncRNA from 1 species
GACUCCCAGCUGCUGGCCAGAGGCAGCAUGCAUAUUAAUUCAUUGAUUCAUUCCAGAUUCUGCAGGUGUUCUCUCCAAGCCCACACCUCUGGAAAGUAGGACACUGUGAGAACUGAGAGGAGGCUGGCUUGCCACGGCGCAGAGAAAGGGAGUAUUCAAGGUCGCUUGCGGGAGACGCAUUGACUCACUCCUAGAUCUCCCAGGCUGUACCCACUGCUCCCCAAGGCCUCUGUGCUGUACCCUGGUGGAGAUUCACAGACCACCCAAAACCUGCAGCCUGGGCCAUUCCCAACUUUCUCCCCUGCUUCUGUAUUCGGUCUCUGGAAGCCUAACUCCUUUCCACCAGGCCUCGACCACUGCCCGUGGCACCUGCACCUCAUCCUCUGGUCUUCCACAGCCAGGUCCCAGGCUUCAGGUUUUGCUCAUCGCCGUGACACUUUAGGAACCACAUUUUAUCCAUUCUCCAAACUGUCCCAGGUAAGGACUCUUCCUUCUGGUACAGCUAGAAUCCGUCUACCUGGUGCUUAAAGCCUGUGCACAGAGCUCCAUAAACUUCAUGAAUGCCCUGCUCUGAGGCCUCUCAGGCCACUCUCUGACUCCCUCCAUGAUGCUCACAUGCUCCCUUCACUGUGCUCCACCAACUCCAGUGUGGUCCACAUGAACCGACCAGGACCCACAUUCAGUCCUGCCAGGCUCCCACUGAGCCUCUCACUCAGCCUCAGCACCUCAUCCUGCUCCAGCCUUCUUUUCAC